rnacentral:rRNA from 1 species
GACGAACGCUGGCGGCGUGCUUAACACAUGCAAGUCGAACGGAAAGGCCCUGCUUUUGUGGGGUGCUCGAGUGGCGAACGGGUGAGUAACACGUGAGUAACCUGCCCUUGACUUUGGGAUAACUUCAGGAAACUGGGGCUAAUACCGGAUAGGAGCUCCUGCUGCAUGGUGGGGGUUGGAAAGUUUCGGCGGUUGGGGAUGGACUCGCGGCUUAUCAGCUUGGUGGUGGGGUAGUGGCUUACCAAGGCUUUGACGGGUAGCCGGCCUGAGAGGGUGUACGGGCACAUUGGGGAUGAGAUACGGCCCCGACUCCCACGGGGGGGAGGAGUGGGGAAUAGUGCAAAAUGGGGGGAAGGCCGGUGGAGCGACGCCGGGGGGGGGAAGACGGGCUUUGGGGUGGAAACCCCUUUUGCCAGGGACGAAGGGGGAGGGAAGGGAAAUGGGGAAGAAAGACCCGGCAAAUACGGG